rnacentral:rRNA from 1 species
CUACGGUGAAUACGUUCCCGGACCUUGUACACACCGCCCGUCAAGCCAUGGAAGCUGGGUGUACCUAAAGUCGGUAACCGCAAGGAGCCGCCCAGGGUAAAACUAGUAACUGGGGCU